rnacentral:rRNA from 1 species
UAGCUACAGGCUUAACACAUGCAAGUCGAGGGGAAACGACAUCGAAAGCUUGCUUUUGAUGGGCGUCGACCGGCGCACGGGUGAGUAACGCGUAUCCAACCUGCCCACCACUUGGGGAUAACCUUGCGAAAGUAAGACUAAUACCCAAUGACGUCUCUAGAAGACAUCUGAAAGAGAUUAAAGAUUUAUCGGUGAUGGAUGGGGAUGCGUCUGAUUAGCUUGUUGGCGGGGUAACGGCCCACCAAGGCGACGAUCAGCAGGGGUUCUGAGAGGAAGGUCCCCCACAUUGGAACUGAGACACGGUCCAAACUCCUACGGGAGGCAGCAGUGAGGAAUAUUGGUCAAUGGGCGAGAGCCUGAACCAGCCAAGUAGCGUGCAGGAUGACGGCCCUAUGGGUUGUAAACUGCUUUUAUAAGGGAAUAAAGUGAGUCUCGUGAGACUUUUUGCAUGUACCUUAUGAAUAAGGACCGGCUAAUUCCGUGCCAGCAGCCGCGGUAAUACGGAAGGUCCGGGCGUUAUCCGGAUUUAUUGGGUUUAAAGGGAGCGUAGGCCGGAGAUUAAGCGUGUUGUGAAAUGUAGAUGCUCAACAUCUGAACUGCAGCGCGAACUGGUUUCCUUGAGUACGCACAAAGUGGGCGGAAUUCGUGGUGUAGCGGUGAAAUGCUUAGAUAUCACGAAGAACUCCGAUUGCGAAGGCAGCUCACUGGAGCGCAACUGACGCUGAAGCUCGAAAGUGCGGGUAUCGAACAGGAUUAGAUACCCUGGUAGUCCGCACGGUAAACGAUGGAUGCCCGCUGUUGGUCUGAAUAGGUCAGCGGCCAAGCGAAAGCAUUAAGCAUCCCACUUGGGGAGUACGCCGGCAACGGUGAAACUCAAAG